CCUACGGGAGGCAGCAGUGAGGAAUAUUGGUCAAUGGACGAGAGUCUGAACCAGCCAAGUAGCGUGAAGGAUGACUGCCCUAUGGGUUGUAAACUUCUUUUAUAUGGGAAUAAAAUGUUCCACGUGUGGGAUUUUGUAUGUACCAUAUGAAUAAGGAUCGUCUAACUCCGUGCCAGCAGCCGCGGUAAUACGGAGGAUCCGAGCGUUAUCUGGAUUUAUUUGGUUUAAAGGGAGCGUAGGUGGAUUGUUAAGUCAGUUGUGAAAGUUUGCGGCUCAACCGUAAAAUUGCAGUUGAAACUGGCAGUCUUGAGUACAGUAGAGGUGGGCGGAAGUCGUGGUGUAGCGGUGAAAUGCUUAGAUAUCACGAAGAACUCCGAUUGCGAAGGCAGCUCACUGGACUGCAACUGACACUGAGGCUCGAAAGUGUGGGUAUCAAACAGGAUUAGAUACCCCAGUAGUC
rnacentral:rRNA from 1 species